rnacentral:lncRNA from 1 species
CCUUGCCAGAGGUCCGUCACGAAGUUGCCCAACCACUGCCAGCCGCAAAUGUAAAACACGUACCUGACAGCACCGUACUCGGAACGCAGGGUGAUGGCGAGCUGCGACAGAGCGCGCCCGGGAGAGUGCGCACGGCUGCGGGCCGAGUGGGGCCGCGCUCGCCGGGGCUCAGGGCCCGCGCGUGCGUGCGUGCGUGCGAGCGAGCGAGCAAGGGGCUCCCGGGCCUCGGCGCGUGGUCUGCGCGCGCCCGGCCGUGCGUGCGGCUGCGGGAGGCUGCGUGUGCGCGCGGGGCGGCAGCGUCGGCCGCAGGCCAGCCGGUGUGGAGCGGGCUUGGAGCCGCGCGCGGAAGAGAAAGGGAAGAUUUGAGUUUGCAGUCUUCAACUGAGAAUUGGAGGCAUGAGGUGAUUUGAGAGCAAGGAGGAAGAAGAGAGGACCAAAGCUUUUCCAGAAAUGAAGAGAAUGCUGACGUAUAAUAAUUUGCUCCUGUAGCAGCUUGCUAGGUAUAGAACAUCGCUUUUAGAUGCCAUAUUGCUCGAUGGUGUUGAGUUAUGACUUAGACGUAUUCUUUUUCUGCUCUUUUGCUCAGUAGUUCACAGCAAAUCUUUUAAUUAAGCAUGGAAUAUGGAAAACAGCAGAAAAAACUUCUGCUAGUGCUUUAGUCUCAUCUGAAAUUCUAUGGGUAAGUUUAUCUUAUUUUAAUUUAG